ACUGGGGAAGUUAAGACGAACAGCUGAGACCUGACUCAAGAGCGAGUUCUGGCCGCGUUAAGUGGGAAGAAAGACUGCCUCAGUUCUUCUCCGACUGCGCGGCCUAUGCCUGGGACACAGGAGGCGCCGGGCUGCCGCACCGACCCCAGGGAGCGACAGAACAGCCUAGGGACGCGGGCGCCGGAAGUGCGGGCGGGCGCGCCCCUCUAGGAAGCCGGGAGGACUGCGGCUCUGUGGCAGGCGCCGGGCGCCGAGGCGUGGGAGGAGAGACGCGAAGCUGAGGGGAGUGUGUCUCCAGUGGGACCUGGUGGGGACAGCCCCGAUUCAAAAUGGUUGACAGGCGACGGAAGGAGGACAAAAGAAAUAUAGAGAGAGCACGCGCCUGGUGGAACUCCGAGGAGAUAAAAAUAGAACCCUGCCUCUGCAAAUCUGGGGAAGAGGAGGACAAAACUGCGUUCGUACACCACAAACACGCUAUCCCCAGUGGCAGUUCUAGAAGCUAACUAGAGGAGUGCGUGGAGGUUGAGGGGAAGGGCCCAGCCCAGGUUUGGCGAGGGGGCCAGGCGGAGGAUCGACCUUGCCGUCGUGGACAAGGGCUUGAACACGUAGCGGGACAGUCAGAAUAAUUCGAUGGAAGAAGGCGCUACUCAGGCUGAGUCUUACCAGACCACUGUUGACUUAGAGGAGUGGUCUGAGGGAGAGCGCAGCAGUGGGAAGUUCAGGACAUUGGCCUGAACUAGCCCAUCUUCGUGGGCUAGAACCUAGGCUGAGGGAUGCGGUGGGUCAGGUUUGGAGAGUUUCAAAGGCCAGCCUCGGGAAUUAGAAAUGCUUUUAGUAAUCAGUGCAGGCCAUUUUCAGGUGACAUGGCAGGAAUGGUACUUCGGGGCACUAUCUGACAUACUGCGUGGAUUGGAUUGAAGGGCAAAACGGAGAAGAAAAAAGACGUUUAGAGAUGUGAACUUAGAAUUUUAGUAAUAUCUGAAAGUAUGACUGAAAAUGGAGAAGGGGAUGAGAUCCAAAGGAAAACGUAUGGAAAAUAAACAGGAAAUUAUAAAAUAGCUAUGUUUGGGGGUGGGAUGAGCAAGAACAGAUAGUGAAGGACCCCAGGUCAGAACUAAAGUAUAGCCUAUAAGUUUUAACAUUCUUCUUAUAACCAGCUUAUGCUAACUAAGAAACUGUGGCCAGCUGACCAUAGAUAAGGGAGUCAGCAAGCAGCAUAACAGGAUAACGAAUAGUGAACAUCUGUGUUUAACCCGGCUUUUUCUGGCUUCUGUAUAAUAAUGCUUCUAAUGCUUUGCUAAGAAAUGAAAAAUUGCUUAAACCCUCGUUCGCUGUGUAAUCAAAUAAAGUUAUACUCUUCCCCUGUUAAGAAUUUCCCCUAUUACUAAGUAAAAUUGAUAAGGGUUGCGUCCCGUACCAAGGCCGGAGACAUACGGUUCAGCACGUACGCUAGCUGGAGACGUCUGGUUCAGCACGUAUACAGAUAAAGGUUAGAAACGUGCAAUUCAACACGUACCCUCUACUGUACACUACCUGAACGGUGACUGGCCAGAAUGUAUGGUUGGUUUUAAAGGAUUGGCUACCUAUGUGUAGGCCUUACUGUAAUGCUUUGAAAUUACUGGCUAGAAAAGUGAGGGCUCUGAUGUAAUGGACUGUAAAAUUCUAUAUUAAGGGACUCCCGAAACAGAUCGGGGCUCUCAGACACUGACCCAUCCCUCGCGGAUUUCAUGGUCAAGUGUCCCUGGGAGUCCGAGCAUGCCCGAAUAAAAUCCUCUUGCUUAUUGCA